GGGGCAACAAGCUGGAGGAGCCCGUGUGCGCGGCUGUCUCUAGCCUCCUCCAGAGUGGUCGUUUGCUCCAGGAGGCCACAGACGUGUCCCCGUAUGAGGUGGACGGCCAACGGUGCCUGGCGGAGGUUUUCCACGGCCUUCGGAGACAUUAUUACUGGACGUCCAACUUCGAUGCACAUAGCGACCCGGUUGUCAACUCCGCCCUUGUGCUGAUGGGACGGGACUCGAUGUUUUGAUUUUCUGACACCUUCAGGACAUCUCCACCUGCACACUAUCUGAGUCCUUUCUGGGGGCCCUGCUGGGCAUAGCCUGAAAGGGUAACAUGGGUGCAGGGGAGCCGUGGGGGUCGGGUACAAUGUAGAUCGGGUGCCAGUCGAAGGCAGAGGCCUUGGCAGACCGAUCGUUGGCUACCAAAUCUGGCUUUAGGAACAUGGAACGUGACCUCUCUGGUGGGAAAGGAGCCUGAGCUGGUGCGGGAGGUAGAGAGAUACUAACUAGAUACAGUGAGGCUCACCUCAAUGCACAGCAUGGGCUCUGGAACCAAACUCCUGGAGAGGGGCUGGGCUCUAUUCCACUCUGGAGUUGCCCAUGGUGAGGGUCUACUUAUUUCCGUGUCUUGCCAUGACAUUUUUCCUUGAUUUGUCUUGGGAAAAGAACAAUUAAAUUGUGUUUUGCAUUCAA